AUGGUUUUGAUAUCCGUCACCGUCGGCCCUAGUCCUUGUUAUGAUUCGGAUGUGGAGGUAUGUGAACCGNNNNNNNNNNAAAUUCCAACCGACCCUAUUGCCGAGAGGUUAAAUUUAGUUGAAAGAGAAAACAAGUACUUGAAAGAAAAAUUGAAAAGAAUUGAGGGGGAGAAGAUGGAAUUGGAGUUGCAUGUUGCCGAUGUCGUCGAUGAUCACAAGAUCAAGAUGGAGAAAAUGCGCUUGAAGAUUAGAAAGAUUAGAAAAUAUGCCAUCGAUAGUGAGGCUUGGUAUCAUUAUGCUGUUGGAUCCAUUGUUACCUUAGUUGCGAUCUUGAUCAUAUUUGUUGUUGCAUUUAAAUGCUUUAGCUAG
rnacentral:rRNA from 1 species